GGGGGGGGGGGGGGGGGGGGGUGGGGGGGGGGGGGCGGGGGGGAGGGCCCUGCGGUGGGGGGGGGCGCGGGGGGCGAGCGGGGGAGUAACACGGGAGUAGGCUGCCCUUGACUUUGGGAUAACGUCAGGAAACUGGGGCUAAACCCGGAGGGGAGCUGCUGCUGCAUGGGGGGGUUUGGGACUUUUCGGCGGUUGGGGAUGUACUCGCGGCUUAUCGUCUUGUUGGUGGGUGCGUGGCUUACCAAGGCUUUGAAGGGUAGCCGGCCUGAGAGGGUGACCGGCCAAUUGGGACUGCGAUACGGCCCAGACUCCUACGGGAGGCAGCAGUGUGGAAUAUUGCACAAUGGGCGGAAGCCUGAUGCAGCAACGCCGCGUGCGGGAUGACGGCCUUCGGGUUGUAAACCGCUUUCGCCUGUGACGAAGCGUGAGUGACGGUAAUGGGUAAAGAAGCACCGGCUAACUACGUG
rnacentral:rRNA from 1 species